AGAUGCUCUGGGACUACAACUCCCAUCAUCCCUGACCACUGGUCCUGCUAGCUAGGGAUGAUGGGAGUUGUAGUCCCAAAACAUCU